CGGAGGAUAAGAAACUAACAAGGAUUCCCUCAGUAGCGGCGAGCGAAGCGGGAAGAGCUCAACAUGAAAACCGUUGGGGGUUCGCGCUUUCCUUCGGGUUGUAUAGUAAAGUGGUGUCGCCUGCGUCGCGCCGGGUAUAAAUCCCGUCUGAAAUGGGGUGUCGUAGAGGGUUAUAUCCCCGUCUGUGACCCGGUGUGCGAUGCGUUACGGUGACCUUACGAUGAGUCGGGUUGCUUGGGCAUGCAGCCCUAAGUGGGUGGUAAACUUCAUCUAAAGCUAAAUACUAGCGAGAGACCGAUAGCGUACAAGUACCGUAAGGGAAAGAUGCAAAGAACUUUGAAAAGAGAGUUAAACAGGGCUUGAAACCGUUAAGAGUGAAGCGAAGGAGGUCAGUGAUCAUGGGGCCAGAUCCCCAAGUGCCUGUCAUAGGGCACCGUAGCGUUCUGGUUUCCCGGGGCAGCGCCGGCCGGGGGCGGGGGUUAACAGGGAGGUGGUUGAGGGAUUCGUUUUCCGCCUGUACUCCUUUAUAGCUUGCACCCCGGCCGAGGGAUCCGCGACUUGUCGUGUGAGGGCGCUGUCAAAAUGGCCUUCUCCACCCCGUCUUGAAACACGGACCAAGGAGUCUAACAUACUCGCGAGUGUUUGGGUGGUUAAAACCCGAACGCACAAUGAAAGUAAACGGUGGCUCUGCGCCGCUGCUUGGUGGGAACCCUGCUUUUAUAAUGGGGGGCACUAUCACCCGACCCCGAUCCCUUUGGGGUGGUUGGUUUUGAGGUAGAGCGAGUAUGAUGGGACCCGAAAGAUGGUGAACUAUUCCUGAGUAGGGCGAAGCCAGAGGAAACUCUGGUGGAGGCUCGUAGCGAUGCUGACGUGCAAAUCGCUCGUCGAACUUGGGUAUAGGGGCGAAAGACUAAUCGAACCAUCUAGUAGCU
rnacentral:rRNA from 2 species